UACGGAGGGUGCGAGCGUUGUCCGGAAUCAUUGGGCGUAAAGGGCGCGUAGGUGGCCCGGUCAGUCCGUGGUGAAAGCGCGGGGCUCAACCCUGCGUCGGCCAGGGAUACUGCCGCGGCUGGAGCACUGUAGAGGCAGGCGGAAUUCCGGGUGUAGCGGUGGAAUGCGUAGAGAUCCGGAAGAACACCGGUGGCGAAGGCGGCCUGCUGGGCAGUUGCUGACACUGAGGCGCGACAGCGUGGGGAGCAAACAGG
rnacentral:rRNA from 1 species